rnacentral:rRNA from 1 species
UACGUAGGGUGCGAGCGUUAAUCGGAAUUACUGGGCGUAAAGUGUGCGCAGGCGGCCGAGCAAGUCGAGUGUGAAAGCCCCGAGCUUAACUUGGGAAUUGCGCUCGAAACUACUUGGCUGGAGUGUGGCAGAGGAAGGUGGAAUUCCAGGUGUAGCGGUGAAAUGCGUAGAGAUCUGGAGGAACACCGAUGGCGAAGGCAGCCUUCUGGGCCAACACUGACGCUCAUGCACGAAAGCAUGGGGAGCAAACAGG